GUCGAGCGAAAAAAUCCCGUGAGGCACCGUCGGUGAGACUGUGAGAGAACCCUAAUUCCUAUCCAAUCGGUAAUCGCCGCUUCAAGAAAUCCCUCACGGAGCUCAGCUCCUUCUUCGAUUUGAUCUUGGGGGAUCGAUCCAACGCCAUGGCCUCCGGCGCCGCCGCCGCGAGCCCCGAAGGCAGAGGCCGAGAGGACGCCUGCAGCGUCCUGCUCGACGUCCAAGCCUAUGUCGGCGCCGGCAAGAACGCUUCCACCGCCAGAUCUAAGACGAGCACCGGCCAUACCAUUGAGGUGACCUUCUGCAUCGUGCCCCCGCCUGCCCUCUCCCACAUCUCCGUCCACUGUCCUGAUCUGCAGCUACCACCGGACGAUCUGGACAUGGCGCCCCAGGCUGUCGCCACCACCGACGAUCUCAUCGUCCUCCGAGUCCCCAUUGACCCUCUGGGCAGGAAUUACUUUCAGUUCAACGACUACUUCGUCUACAGGGCGCACCAUCAGGACCCGAAACUAGAUCUGCUCCCGAAUCCGCAGCCCUAUUGGUUCAGAGACCAAGAAAUCGCCAUACUUAGCUGCGGCCCAGUAACUGCCGACGGCGGCAAUCAGUAUGUCGUUGCCGCCCUCAAGAGCCAACCUUCUUUCAGGCUGCACCUAUACCGCUCCAAACCUGGCGGCGAGACAGGGAGUUGGACAGUCCAGCCAGUUUCUGUGAAGAAACCGCUGAGGGACAGCGUGUGCCCGAUCCCAGACACAGCCAAGAGGCUCUUGUACCACGUGACAACCAAGGUGAUCACACUAGGAGGUGCAAACGGCACAGUUGGUUGGGUUGAUCUCUGGCGUGGCAUCCUCCUUUGCGAUGUUCUCGAGGAGAGUCCCAAGCUGCGUGACAUACCGCUACCACUGCCGGCCAAGGGCAAUUGGAGAAGGUUUCUCCGUGACGGUGAGCGCUUUGUUCGGGACAUCACUGUCAGCCAACACAAGGACUCUAUCAAGUACGUCGAGAUGGAAAUAGUUCCACCAAGAGUGGUGACCACCACAUCCUCCCCUGAUCCUGCCACGUAUCUUGAAUGGGUGCACCACAAAGAAUGCCUACCUCUGCUGAUGCCGUAUGUGGUCCCUGGUCGGUGGAAGGCCACUACAUGGAGCAUGCCUAUCCCGGUCACUUCAUGGGACGACUGGCACACCGAAUGCAACGCUGAGUCGCAGGAAUUCCAUAUCAGCGACCCAAGGCAUUGUGAGCUGCUGCAAGAGCUUAUGAGCAGCAGCGGUGGUCAUAAGGAGGCCAAACAGGCAACCUUGUCGCUGGGAUCCCUGCAUAUGGGUUAUCCCGCCUUCAGCAUCGACGAUGAUGUUGUUUACCUGUCGUGCAAGGCUGCCAGGAGGGGUCUGAUGGGGUUAGUGGCUGCUGUUGACGUGAGGAAGAAGGAGCUGCGAGGAGUGGCCAAGCUUGACAUCAAAAGGAACACCUGCUUCAUGCGUAGCUACAUUGCCACCGAGAUCUCCAAAUAUCUCAAGACUACAGAUGAAAGUCUCCAAGAAAUAUCUAGUGCAUUUGGACCUACUGUUGGUGACAAAGUCAUAUCUGAUGUUGCCACCGAGUGUGUUUGUUCAUCUGGCAUGGAUGACAGGGUCAAGCUGAAAAAUGUGACUAGUGGUACUGCUGUGCCAUCUAUAGUUGACCUAGUAGAACUGAGUCCUUCCACCAAGACACAUGAAAUCAACAUGGUUGGUACUACAAAUGAUAUUGACGAGAAGAGCCAGAAUGAAAAAUGUGAUACAGGACUUACUUCGCAUCAGAGAAAUGAGAUGCAUAUCACAGGCAACUUUGAAGAAAAGGAGCUGAACAAAGAGGUCAUUGUAGAUACCAUUCCUCAUGACGCCAAUGUGAUUUCCAGUACUGAUAUUCCUGAGGAAAAUGAGCAGAAUGAAGAAAGUAUUGCAGGGAACAGUUCUGGCAAGAUAGGUGCAGGGCAAAGAGUGAAUAGUACCCAAGAAUUCGAAGUGAAUGUGGCCUCUAAAGAGAGCAAUGUUACAAGUGUUAUAGCGAUGGCUGAAGAAAAGAAGCAGGAUGAGGUUGAUGUGAAAAUAAACCAUGAGAUAGAAGGGGCAUGCAGCCUACAAGCUACUGGAGAAAAUAAUGCUCCUAUUGAGACUAAUGCAGGAACUGUCACAGAUGAUGUUGAGGACAAAAUGCCUGAUGAAGAAAUUGUUACAGGCAGUAUUAAUGAGGAAAGGCUGGAUAAUGGAGAAGUGACCGAGGGCCUUGGUUCUCAUGAGAAUAUUGUUGUACGUGGCUCGGAUAAUGUUGAAGGGAAGAUGUAUGAAGAGGCCAGGACAGGUCCCUUAGUAGACAAGUUUAGUUUGAUUAACUCUACUGAGACUGUUGAGGAGAGGAAGGAUGGAAAAACAAGUGCAGACCCUACUUCACAUGAGACCAAUGUGGCACACACCACGUAUAGUGUUGAUAAACACAAUGAGGAGCAGGCUAUGGAACCUACUUCCUGUAUCAGUACCGUUGGUGGCAUAGGCAAUGCUGAAGACAAGCAUAGUGAAGAAACCGCAGCAGAUCCUAGUUCUGUUGAAAAUGCAACCACUACACAAGUCACGGACACAGAGGAUGCAGAAAAUAGCGAGCAAAAUGAAAACACUACCAGUACAGAUCCUGCUUCUGAUGAAGCACAAGUGGCACAGAACACAAAUGUCGUCGCCAUAGCGAGCUACUUAAACAAUGGGAUGGCCUACAAGGAAAUGGUACGGGCUCAGACAAAAAAGUCAUUCAAGGACCUCCUUGCCAUGGAAACCAAAGACGAGAAGAAGGGGUUGCUCAGGCGCUGGUACCUAAAGAUAACGUGUCGCUCUUGAAGCCAGGUUUGCCCAAAGCCUGUUCGGGGCAAUAGGACUGCAACUCUCCUACUAGAUUGCCUGUAAAAAAGAAACACAAGAUACGGCAAUUAGUCAUUGAGAGCGCCCCUUCCCUUGAAUUUUGUGUCAUCUAAAUUCGUCGUCCAUGGAUAUGACUGUAUCGAUAAUCUUGGCGCCUAAACUGGAGUCCUUUGGCUGUACCUACAUGUGGGCCCGGCUUUUCUUACGUUCCGCAUGCUGUGUUAAGGUAUAUUGCAACUUUCGAGCUUCUCAGUUUCCGACUCUUGUAAAUUACACAUAUUCUUGGUCUAAUGCACGUUAUGUCUCUCAUGCUUCACAAAGGAACUGCCGCGCACACUCAAGACUUUGUAUCUCAUGAUGACUGCUACUAGUAAUUUGAAUGAUACAUUUAUUGAGUUGAUAAGACGCUUUCCGUGCUUGGAGAAUCUGCACGUUUACUUGCGGGGCAGUCCACGUGGGCAAAAAUAUCAUGGCGCCGUAAUCUUCGGAAUGCUGGCACAUCUCUUUUAGUAGAAGAGUACCGGGGAAGAAAGUCGGACAUUGACUUUGUCUCAUUCUUUGUAUUGACCAGUGCACUGCUACAGUUGAUGACACUGUGGAGUUCUUGGAGAAAAAACGUGCCAUGAUUCGCCUGGAGACAAGGGCCUCAUGGGCCCAAGUUCAUUUCCAUCUGAUCAUGCAUGGGAGUGGUUCGGAAUCAAUCACUGAUCCAUUCGUGCAAUAUCCCUGAUUCCCUGGUGAAGAUUUUUGUACUUCCCAGCCUAUAUAUCUCGGUCUGUACGUGUUUUGUGGAACCUUAAUUUUGUUAUGUUGUCCGUAGUACUUUAGUCGUUUGUAUGAACAUGGAACCUAGGGAUUUGAAAACCUCCUUUCAAGGAGCAGGGAACCAACUUUGUCUUAACAAUUCGGCCAAGUUUUUAUUUCGUUGUCUGUUUA